GGGUUUCUCGCAACCAAAUUGUCAAAAAAAUAAUGUGGAUGGUUCCGUACAACGCUCUUCACAGGUAAGAUAAAUGAUCAGUUCACUACUCUCAUUGAAUUUGGAUGUUUCAUUCAAUUUUAUCAUAUUUCAAGAAAA